CUGCUGCCUCCCGUAGGAGUCUGGGCCGUGUCUCAGUCCCAAUGCGGCCGAUCAACCUCUCAGUUCGGCUACAGAUCGUCGCCUUGGUGAGCCUUUACCUCACCAACUAGCUAAUCUGACGCGAGUCCAUCCAUAAGCGAUAAAUCUUUCAAAUAUCUGCCAUGCGGUAAAUAUUCAAUAUGCGGUAUUAGUCCACGUUUCCAUGGAUUAUCCCCCUCUUAUGGGCAGGUUACUCACGCGUUA
rnacentral:rRNA from 1 species